rnacentral:rRNA from 1 species
CGGCGGACGGGUGAGUAACGCGUGGGUAACCUGCCUCAUACAGGGGGAUAACAGUUAGAAAUGACUGCUAAUACCGCAUAAGACCACAGGAUCGCAUGAUCCGGUGGUAAAAACUCCGGUGGUAUGAGAUGGACCCGCGUCUGAUUAGCUAGUUGGUGGGGUAACGGCUCACCAAGGCGACGAUCAGUAGCCGACCUGAGAGGGUGACCGGCCACAUUGGGACUGAGACACGGCCCAA